GCGGAGCUCGGGUGGCGGCGGCCUGGCCGCGCGGUGCGGUGCGGUGCGGUGCGGCGGGGGGACCAGGGACGCCGCCGGGGCGGGGCGCAGGGUCGGGGUUCGAGGGAGAGAGAGAGCGCGAGAGCAGAGCAUUGUCACAUGACCCCAGCACUCAUUCUCCAUCAAGUGCCGGCGUGAACAGAGCCCCUGCAAGCCCCACCGAGGAAGGACCCUCCCUCCCCUCGCUUGUCCCCCGCCGGCCGGGGUGGAUCCGCCGCCGGCUUUGCCCUAUCCCGGAGACUUGUCUGUCUCCCUCGCUCUCGCUCAUCUUCGGGAAGCCAAUUUGUGUGUCGCUGGACCUGUAUUCUUCUUUAAAAAUUGUGUUGGCUUCAUUAUAAAACAGAUUGGCCCCCCAUUACCCGCCUGCCUGUCAGUUGUGAUCUUUGUGUGAGGUGUUUAAGGUGACUGUCAAAACUGAGCAUCACGGCUCUGCAAACAGACGCCCAUGCCUGGGGCUCCAAGGUCACAGGUUCAAUCCCCAGCACCACCAGCAGCCAGAGCGGAGCAGUGCUCUGGUCUUUCUGUGUCUUUCCCUGUAUCUCUUUCUCUCUCAGUAAAAUAAAAAUAAAUAAAUAAAUAAAAA